CGCCCAUUAAAGCGGUACGCGAGCUGGGUUCAGAACGUCGUGAGACAGUUCGGUCCCUAUCCGUCGUGGGCGUAGGAAAUUUGAGAGGAGCUGUCCUUAGUACGAGAGGACCGGGAUGGACAUACCUCUGGUGUACCAGUUGUCGUGCCAACGGCAUAGCUGGGUAGCUAUGUGUGGACGGGAUAAGUGCUGAAAGCAUCUAAGCAUGAAGCCCCCCUCAAGAUGAGAUUUCCCAACUUCGGUUAUAAGAUCCCUCAAAGAUGAUGAGGUUAAUAGGUUCGAGGUGGAAGCAUGGUGACAUGUGGAGCUGACGAAUACUAAUCGAUCGAAGACUUAAUCAA
rnacentral:rRNA from 1 species